UCCGGGGCCGCACGCGUGCUACAAUGACGAUGCUAGUGAGCAUGAUUAACUUGCCCGAAAGGGUAGGUAAAACUGUUUAAUCAUCGUCGUGCCUGGGAUUGGGGUUUGCAAUUAUCCCCCAUGAACCAGGAAUUCCUAGUAAGCACAAGUCAUAAGCUUGUGCUGAUUACGUCCCUGCCCUUUGUACACACCGCCCGUCGCUACUACCGAUUGAAUGGCUUAGCAAGGUCAUUGGAUUGAGUUCUUGCAGUUCACCCUGCUUGGAUUCGAGAAGAUGCCCGAACUUGGUCAUUUAGAGGAAGUAAAAGUCGUAACAAGGUUUCCGUAGGUGAACCUGCGGAAGGAUCAUUAUCAAAUUCCUAUUGCCAUAAAAAUCCACCAUCGUGGUAAGCGCUUUCUGCAGUUUUCACUGCUCGGCGCAUUGUGAUACAGAAGUGGUUGGGGUGGCCUAGGCGGUAACCAUGUAUCGUUUAGUGCUGACUCCUUCUCACCCGCAGCCUCCCCAGUCCGGUGGCUUGUGGGCAUGCACAGUUCGUGGCGGCGUUGUGCAUGUCUGCUUGCCGCUUUCAUUCAUUCUUUGGACUUGGCCUUGGUUGUCGUUGCCACAAAACCCCUCUCCCCUCGUUGGAA
rnacentral:rRNA from 1 species